rnacentral:rRNA from 1 species
UACGGGGGGAGCAAGCGUUGUUCGGAUUUACUGGGCGUAAAGGGCGCGUAGGCGGCCACCGCAAGUCGACUGUGAAAUCUCCGGGCUUAACCCGGAAAGGUCAGCCGAUACUGCGGGGCUAGAGUGCAGAAGGGGCAACUGGAAUUCUCGGUGUAGCGGUGAAAUGCGUAGAUAUCGGGAGGAACACCAGUGGCGAAGGCGGCUCUCUGGGCAGAUACGUGACGCUGAGACGCGAAAGCGUGGGA